CUAAGAAUUGGAACUCCCCCAGUCUUUCAUUCUGGGUACAGUGUUUGCUUCAAUUCUUGGUGGCUGCCACUGAGCACUACCUCCUUUCACAUUUAACAUUAACCUGCAUAGACAUUGUAAAGUAUCAACAAGUGUUAUAACUAGCUAUGUGAACUCAGUACCAUUUAUACAUGAAGUAAAUGACAAGCAGGCCUCCAUAGUAAAGCCACAAUCAUGGCAGCAUGAAGGAGAUUCCUGACCUAUCCAUUAAAUACAGCUGAAUAGCUACUGCACAAAAUAGAAAUCUCUUUUGUUAUAAGCAUAUCUGUAAGUGCCAGGGUACUGUGUAUCAUUUGGUGGUUAUUUAUCAGUCAUUUCUGGUAAUACUGUCUUCAACAAAAACACAAACCUAAGUUUGUGCUUCUGCACAAAGCUAUUCUUUCCCUGGUCUAUUCUCAAGCUUAACAUCCAUGUGAUCCCCAUAUCAGAAGUGGCAGCUAACUACUUGAGUUACACAUAAAUAGGGGCCUGGAUAUAGAUGCUACCUUCAUAAACAUCACAGUACAAACCUCAUUUUAAUCAGCCUGUUUGCACAUGGAUCUUUUGCAGCUCUGAAAAAAAGACUCUAUCUCCAUAUGUACUAAAAAACAAGAGAUGAUACUCUUUAAAGUACAGUUCUCCAUCCACAAUAAAGCAAUUUAAAUAAUUUAUCCCGGUCCCAUAAUGUGAACUAGUUUAAUAAAAGGCAGCUGAUGUUUUAGGUCAGGAAAAGAGAGGGCUCCAAGGAAGAGUGUACAGUGGUGCCCCGCAAGACGAAUGUCUCACAAGACGAAAAACUUGCAAGACGAAAGGGUUUUGCGUUUUUUGAGUCGUUCCGCAAGACGAUUUUCCUAUGGGCUUGCUUCGCAAGGCGAAACGUCUUGCGAGUUCUUGCAGUUUGUUUCCUUUUCUUAAAGCCACUAAGCCGUUAAUGGCUGCUAAGCCGUUAAUAGCCGCUAAGCCGCUAAUAGCCGUGCUUAUAAGGCAGAAAAACUCGCAAGACGAAGAGACUCGCGGAACAGAUUAAUUUCGUCUUGCGAGGCACCACUGUACCUCUAACCAGGGCUUUUUUCCAGCCGGAAUUCAACGGAACUGAGUUCUGGCACCUCUCAGGUGGUUGCCAUUGUGAUUCUAAGAAGUGGGAAGUGUUUAUGGUCAGUUCCGGCACCUCUUUUUCUAGAAAAAUAGCACUGCCUCUAACAUAUUGCCAGUUUUUCAGCUAUCAAUGUGUUUCACAUAGCUGUGGGACAUUGAUAUAUACUGAUAUUGAACAUGCUCUGCUUUUGCACCCUGGCACCAUGCCUUCAUGUCAACAAUGCUGCUGUAUCAAGCAAAAUGAAGGACGGCUCUAAUAACACUUUCAUCAGGAAUGAUUCUGUAAAUUAAGUGAAUUCAGAGAGCCUAGCUGUAGUUAUUGUGGAUUCUCUGUGCAAGUCUCCACCAGGGAUUCACAAUCCUUGGCUUGCCUUGAUAACAAGCCAAAAUUCAUGCUUGUUAUGACUCACCAUGCUGAGAGAUGAGCAGGGUCUUACUUCAUAUCACACCAUUCUCUGAGCUAGGAGGUCGGUGGGCGUGGGGGGACUCUUGCUGCUUUCCAAGAGUCUCCAAGGCUCAGUUGUUAGCUGUUGAGCACCUGCUCUUCUCAGGAGAAGCACAUACAUUCUUUCCCAGUAUUGCACUCAAUAGGUUAGAAAUGUGCUCACCAGUGGUAUGUCUGUCUAUGAGCACUUCAUUUUUUCUUUAAAAAUUGAGUUAUGAAAAAGCUGUGCUAUAGAAAGCUUGAGUCAAGAGGUUGCCAUGCUUCACCCACCACUGCAAAUGUCUUGCUGUAACAGACUUUCUGAUUUGCCACAGCUUUGUAUGCCGAGUGUAUCACCAAAAAGAACAAAAAAAUAAAAUAAAACAAAUCUGUACUCCUCUUUGCUGGAUCAACUGCUAUCAUUACUGGCUCUCAUAAGGUCUAUUCCACACCCCGCCUCCCAGGUGACAUAAAAAGAAUAACAGUAGGGUCAUCAUUAGAAAGGAAGAACUACAAAUAAUAGUAUUACAAACAGAACAGAAGUAAUAACUUGUUUUACUCAAAGUUCUUGCAGUCCUAACACAAAUACGAGGAAG
rnacentral:lncRNA from 1 species